CCUACGGGGGGCUGCAGUGGGGAAUCUUGCACAAUGGGGGAAACCCUGAUGCAGCGACGCCGCGUGAGUGAUGAAGCCCUUCGGGGUGUAAAGCUCUUUCGACAGGGACGAUAAUGACGGUACCUGGAGAAGAAGCUGCGGCUAACUACGUGCCAGCAGCCGCGGUAAUACGUAGGCAGCAAACGUUGUUCGGAGUUACUGGGCGUAAAGAGUGCGUAGGCGGUUCGCCAAGUUUGGUGUGAAAUCUCCCGGCUUAACUGGGAGGGUGCGCCGAAAACUGGCGGGCUUGAGUGUGGGAGAGGGAAGCGGAAUUCCUGGUGUAGCGGUGAAAUGCGUAGAUAUCAGGAGGAACACCGGUGGUGUAGACGGCUUCCUGGACCACAACUGACGCUGAGGCACGAAAGCGUGGGUAGCAAACAGGAUUAGAUACCCCAGUAGUC
rnacentral:rRNA from 1 species